UUUGACUUUUUUUUUCAAAGAUGUCUGUUAAAUCUGUUGUGAUUUUAUAUGAAUUUUCCUUUUUUAUAGUUUAAAAAUCGAUCUUUUUGGGAAUAUAGCCGAAGUUUCCCCAAAACUUUAUAAGAGUUUAUCAGGCAUCUUUAAUUUGGUCAGUCCAAUUUAUAUAGUUUUCAGAACACUGCAGAUUGUGAACAGUGCAUUAUAUGAGAUUAUGGGGGGAAAUCCUAUAUCUAGAGUACUCUACCAAUUUGUGUGUAUGUGCGUGUGUGUGUGUGUGAUUAUCAGAGAAUUACAAAAAGACCAACUGCUUUUUAAAUACUGUUAUGUAGUUCAAGUGUCUUGCCUUGACCAAUCUAAUGAGUUGAUUAACUGGGCCUUUAUACUUAACUCAAUAAAAAAACUAAGCAGAUGUAAGUUAAAUAAAAAGUUUGAAUUUAUUGCCCAGCGUACCUAUUAACCUUAUAUUUAAAAUUGUCUUCCUCAAUUUUUGUUAUUUCAUAAGGAACACGCUUUAGAUUCACACGCAAAUAAUAAGUCAUUUAUCAUUUUUAGGAUAAUUGAAACUCACUCAUUUCAAUGUUCAGUUGAACCUCUUUACGACAUUAAUUUUAGGUGAUUGGAGAUUACUUGCCCAAUAAUUUAACUUGUUUACCAUCAUAUAUCAGAAUUUUAUUAUAUUUAAGGAACAAAAUUGAAGUUUUUUAUUCAGUGAAUUUCAUAACUUUCCAGAGUUCUAAAAAGAGUUUUUUUUAAACAAAAAACUUAAACUGAUAGUCUAUAAGAGUAAUUUAGCAGAGAUAGUAUCAUAAUGUAGAAAAAUAGUCCUAUAGCAAUGGUCUUAACAUAUUUUAGCUUCCAUAUGGGAAUAGGAAUGGUAGGUCUCAAUUUGUUACUAGAAAUAAAGUGAUUUGAGGAAAAAUUAUGAGAUAAUUCAUUUGGUCUACCAAACACUUAGCACAACCUGAUACUUCAUUUAUCACUGAAUAUUUGUUGAACUAAUGUCUGGUAAUCCUCAUGAUUUUACAGCCUCAAGGUGGAACAUACUGUAAUCUCUAGCUAAUGGGAAGUUAUUCUGAUAAUUCACUUCAGGAAAUUGAUUUAAUGGCUUAUCCUUUUAAUUAAGACUGCAGAACUAUUAACCUAAGUUCCUAUAAUGGCAAGAGUCAAUACAAUUUAAGCUGGAAGUUACUAAGAGGUUAUUUUUCAGGUAUAAUAUUUUAUCUUUGCCUAGGGCUUAAAACCUUGUUAGCUGAAUUUGUACUAGCCCAGACUUCUUGUCUUCUGCAAGGUGGACACAGUGCUCAUUGUGUUUGUCUUUGUUCAGCUGAUGUCCAUUCCACUAGUGACAAGUUAACCUUUUGGCAUUUAGACCUUCCAAACUCAAGUCUUGGGAUUCCCAUGUAUCUGACAGGUCAACCUUGAAGAACCUAAGAUUAAACUUUAACUUUAAUAUUUUCAUGUUUGUCUUAAGUGAAUAACUUGUCUUUUGGAGAAUAGCUUUAAGUGGCUUAGACACUGAUAAAACUCAGUGUCUUGUUUUGUUGACACUCAUCUCAAUAUUGUUUUAUCUUUGACCUUAUUUAAAUCUCGGAUUUAAUAGUCUAGUGAAAAAAUUAGCGGGAAGCAUGAAUAUUGAAAACAAUAAGGAAAAGGAAAGUUAAAAAGAAAGUAAUUAGAAUUAGUUUAUUAUAUUUCUAACAUUUCUGAAUUUAUUAGUUGCUUACAAAUUGGUGUGGCUGUGUUGUUCAUAAAUGUUUAUGUACCGUGUUAAUUAGAAGACCAUAGAACGUCACAGCAGCUUGGCUAAUGUUAUUGCAGUUUUUACCACAGUUGCUGUUGUGGAUGAAAUUACUUGUUAGAUUAAUAAAAAAAUGUUGACAAAACAUGGCUUUAUACCUCAGUAUCAAGAUAUACAAAACACAUGCUUCAGAAUAUAAAUACAUUUUUAUGGCAUUACUAUUAAUGACAGCAGCUGGUCAGCCUUGACCAUUACCGAAACAUAACAGACUCCAAUGAUGAUUCUUUCUUAUUUUGAAUGUUACUAGUUUGGGACCUUGAUUGGUUGGGAUUUUAUCAUUGUCAUAAUUUUAAGUAAUUCAGAUUUUAAAGCUAGCCUGCAGGUUUUUAAAGCAUGAUUUGAUGAUAUUUAAUACUAAGGCUUUAAAAAAAAAUCGCUUGAGAAAAACAGAAGGGAUUCUAAAGUUUAGUGGCUUACUACGUACGAUAGCAUUGUGAAAAUAAACUUCCAUUGAGCCGAUGUGAAAGGAACCACUCUUUUGUGGAAUUAAAUCUAUGCUAGGGCACUUCACAUGACGACUGUAUUUAGGAAAUGUUAUUUCAUAAAAAUUGUUGAUUAUCAAAAAGUAUGUUCUCUUUCUAAUGCCUUUUUAACCCAACCAGUGCUAAUAACACUUCACCUACUCCCUCUCUGUCUGGCACUCACGUCUUACUGCUCUUGGACUUUAAACUGCUUCUCAAGCCUUCUGGUCCACUUGCGUUUCAGUGUUGCUGAACUAACAACGCAUCUGUGGUAUAAUCUGUGCUGGGUCGGAGCAGAGAGCAGCAGUUUACAUCACUGUCCAUCAUUACCCCCAACCUCCAGAAUUCCUGAGAAGGGAAAAAUGUCCCAGAACUUUGCUUCUUGUCGGUAGUGGGCCACCCCAGAGGACAGAAGGGAGUACAGAAAGGCUUCAGUGUUUCCUAUGGAAGUUCCUGUUUCCUUGGAAUGUGUGUGAGAAAGUGAAGCUUUGAAAUACAUAACCUAAGGGAGGGGGAGACUGACUUUGGGGGUAGUCCCCCGCCACCAAGCAUUUGUAUUAAUGAGCUGGAUGGCUGACUGAGGCGGGGGAAGUAGCUUUGGAAUCUGCACUGAGAGCCAAGCAAGUCCACACUUCCCUCCUCCAAUCACAGAGUAUUUUCAUCACCUCCAAGAGAACCUGCAAAACAAUGAUAAUUAGAACUGUCUGGAGUAGGCAUCUUUGAAUGUUCCUGAUCUUGGUGGAAAGCGUCUAGUCUUUCACCUUUAAGUCUGAUGCUAGCUGUGAAGUGUCCAGAGAUGUCCUCUAUCAAGUAAUAAAGAGAAAUGUCUUUAAAGCAGCCAAUGUAAAACAAGACACAUUGCUUAUAGAGGAAGAGGAAACCCUGCAAUACAGAAGAUAAUGGGAAUAACACUACACUUACAAUGGAUGCAUUGCUUCUUUUUAAAAGUUGAUUAAACAAACACAAAAAGCACAUUUCCUUUGAGACUGAGGUUGUCAGUUUGAUGUCUGCAUGAGACAGUAUGCUUUCCCAUGCAAAAACCCUUCUUCUGUCCCUGAAUCCCUAGACAACCACUGUGUCCCAGAGUUCUUCAUAGUAGAGGUGGCGAUUUUUCUUUCCAGUACAAAGGGAAAGAACGGAACUAACAGGUCCUGCUGAUACUACCCACAUAUGUUCCACAGUGUAGGAACCAGAGUGUGCUGAUCUUGAUGCUUGUAGGGAAAUAUUUUUUCUCCCUUAUUUUAGCCCUAAUCCAAUCAUUAUCAGCCUUGGCUGUUCUUUAGAAUCAGCUGGGGAGCAUUAAAAAAAUACCGAUACCCAUCCUCAUAUCAGACGAAUUUAAAUUUAGAAUCUAGUGGUGGAACCAGGCCCUUUAAUUUUG